ACGAACGCUGGCGGCGUGCUUAACACAUGCCAGUCGAACGGUGAAGCGCCUUCCUUUUUGGUGGGUGUGGAUGAGUGGCGAACGGGUGAGUAACACGUGAGUAACCUGCCCCCUUCUUCUGGAUAACCGCAUGAAAGUGUGGCUAAUACGGGAUAUUCUGGGUCUGUCGCAUGAUGGGUCUGGGAAAGAUAUUGUUUCGGUGGGGGAUGGGCUCGCGGCCUAUCAGCUUGUUGGUGGGGUGAUGGCCUACCAAGGCGGUGACGGGUAGCCGGCCUGAGAGGGUGGACGGUCACACUGGGGCUGAGACACGGCCCAGACUCCUACGGGCAGCAGCAGUGGGGAAUAUUGCACAGUGGGCGCAAGCCUGAUGCAGCGACGCCGCGUGAGGGAUGGAGGCCUUCGGGUUGUGAACCUCUUUCGCCAGUGAAGCAGGCCUGCCUCGUUUGUGGGUGGGUUGACGGUAGCUGGAUAAGAAGCGCCGGCUAACUACGUG
rnacentral:rRNA from 1 species